GAGAAUUCUCUAGUACGAAGACUUUUCUAUCUUUGGUGGUGUUGCAGAAUCCAGAUCAGGAAAUCCACUGUGGAUCUAGAGCGAGCGUCCGAUCCGAAGAUCUCGACCAACUGUUUUGCAACCGUUUCUUCCUCUCUCUUGACUCCAGCUCAUCGGCUUAAGCCAAAUCGUCUCUUCAGCGGAAACACUUGCUAAAGCUUUAUUAUUUGCCAAUAUUUCCACCUGGUUCAAUUGUGGAUCUUGA
rnacentral:lncRNA from 1 species